rnacentral:misc_RNA from 2 species
AUAUAUCAACACAGGCAAGUUUUUUCAAGACUUGCUCUGCUGUUUGGAUGUUGAAGGCUUUGCUGGCAUGAUGUAUUUCUGUCAGCUCCUUUUAAAUUCAUUAGCAGGAACCUUUGCAGGACUGGCUUCAGUUUGAUAAGAUUGAACUGUUGUUAGAAUGCGCCUUUUGUCGUUCCGGCUUCUAAUUGUCCGGUAAAACCGGACUGCCUCGCUUUUGAGACAUUAACAUUUGAUA